AUUCAGCUGACGAGUCCCAAAUAGGACAAAACGCGCGUUUCGGAU
rnacentral:hammerhead_ribozyme from 1 species